rnacentral:rRNA from 1 species
AACGAACGCUGGCGGCAGGCCUAACACAUGCAAGUCGAGCGAGACCUUCGGGUCUGGCGGCGGACGGGUGAGUAACGCGUGGGAAUAUGCCCUUUGGUACGGAAUAGCCUCGGGAAACUGAGAGUAAUACCGUAUGUGCCCUUCGGGGGAAAGAUUUAUCGACAAAGGAUUAGCCCGCGUUGGAUUAGGUAGUUGGUGGGGUAAUGGCCUACCAAGCCUACGAUCCAUAGCUGGUCUGAGAGGAUGAUCAGUCACACUGGGACUGAGAUACGGCCCAGACUCCUACGGGAGGCAGCAGUGGGGAAUCUUAGACAAUUGGGGCAACCCUGAUCUAGCCAUGCCGCGUGAGUGAUGAAGGCCUUAGGGUUGUAAAGCUCUUUCAGCUGGGAAGAUAAUGACGGUACCAGCAGAAGAAGCCCCGGCUAACUCCGUGCCAGCAGCCGCAGUAA